rnacentral:hammerhead_ribozyme from 1 species
AUUCAGCUGACGACUUCUAAAUAGGACGAAACGCACAUCCUGGAU